rnacentral:rRNA from 1 species
UCGAUCCGAACAGAAAUAGCCGGUUAGCCUGGCGAUGCUCUUCAUCGAGUGUGUGUCGGGCGGCUGGUACGUUUACUUUGAAAAAAUUAGAGUGCUCAAAGCAGGCCUUAGCGCCAGAAUAAUAGUGCAUGGAAUAAUGGAAUAGGAUCUCGGUUCUAUUUUGUUGGUUCUCGGAACACGAGAUAAUGAUUAAUAGGAACAGACGGGGGCAUUCGUAUUGCGACGUUAGAGGUGAAAUUCUUGGAUCGUCGCAAGACGGACUACUGCGAAAGCAUUUGCCAAGAAUGUUUUCAUUAAUCAAGAACGAAAGUUAGAGGUUCGAAGGCGAUCAGAUACCGCCCUAGUUCUAACCAUAAACGAUGCCAACUACGAGCUUUUUAACCCCGA